AGUGAACGCUGGCGGUAGGCCUAACACAUGCAAGUCGAACGGCAGCACAGGAGAGCUUGCUCUCUGGGUGGCGAGUGGCGGACGGGUGAGGAAUACAUCGGAAUCUACUCUGUCGUGGGGGAUAACGUAGGGAAACUUACGCUAAUACCGCAUACGACCUACGGGUGAAAGCAGGGGACCUUCGGGCCUUGCGCGAUUGAAUGAGCCGAUGUCGGAUUAGCUAGUUGGCGGGGUAGAGGCCCACCAAGGCGACGAUCCGUAGCUGGUCUGAGAGGAUGAUCAGACACACUGGAACUGAGACACGGUCCAGCCUCCUACGGGAGGCAGCAGUGGGGAAUAUUGGUAUAUGGGCGCAAGCCUGAUCCAGCCAUAACGCGUGGGUGAAGAAGGCCUUCGGGUUGUAAAGCCCUUUUGUUGGGAAAGAAAUCCAGCUGGCUAAUACCCGGUUGGGAUGCCGGUACCCAAAGAAUAAGCACCGGCUAACUUCGUGCCAGCAGCCGCCGUAA
rnacentral:rRNA from 1 species